AUACGGAGGGUGCAAGCGUUAUUCGGAAUUACUGGGCGUACAGGGCGCGUAGGCGGCGCAUUAAGUCAGUUGUGAAAGCCCGGGGCUCAACCCCGGAAGUGCAAUUGAAACUGGUGUGCUUGAGUAUGGUAGAGGGAAGUGGAAUUCCGGGUGUAGCGGUGAAAUGCGUAGAUAUCCGGAGGAACACCAGUGGCGAAGGCGGCUUCCUGGACCAAUACUGACACUGAGGCGCGAAAGCGUGGGGAGCAAACAGGAUUAGAUACCCUAGUAGUCC
rnacentral:rRNA from 1 species